rnacentral:sRNA from 1 species
UAUAGCACAGAAGGUCUUUCCAUGGCACUGGCGUCUUUACGAAAUCUCUACACUCCAAAUAUAAAGGUCAGCCGACUGCUGAUUUUGGGAGGUGCCAAUAUUAAUUACCGGACAGAGGUUUUAAAUAAUGCUCCAAUUCUAUGUGUUCAGUCCCAUCUUGGUUACACAGAAAUGGUAGCCCUGCUGCUGGAGUUUGGGGCUAACGUGGAUGCCUCUUCUGAAAGUGGCCUGACUCCCCUGGGAUAUGCUGCAGCAGCAGGGUACCUGAGCAUUGUGGUGCUGCUGUGCAAGAAACGGGCCAAGGUGGAUCAUUUGGAUAAGAACGGGCAGUGUGCUUUGGUUCAUGCUGCACUCCGAGGUCAUCUGGAGGUUGUCAAGUUUUUGAUUCAGUGUGACUGGACGAUGGCCGGCCAGCAGCAAGGAGUAUUUAAGAAGAGCCAUGCCAUCCAACAGGCCCUCAUUGCUGCAGCCAGCAUGGGUUAUACUGAGGUAAGAAGUAGGCAAUAGGAUUGUUUUUUCAAGCUAUGUAUUGAAGGACCCAGGAAACCAGGAGAAAAGAUUGCACAAAGACAAAAUUGCCAACCAAAUUAAUGUGAAUUCGUGAUCGCUGCUCUGAAUAAUAAGGAGAUUAAACUCCAUGAAGCACUUUAUUCAAAUGCCAAGGUCCCUCAAAUUGUAGGUAUAGAAAGGUGCGAGUUGGAAAGGACCGUGGAAAUGAUCUAAUUAUUCUCCAUGUUUUCCUCCCUGUUUAACAGACAGUGGCACCAAGGCUCAAAGAGAUGAAUUAUUGAGGUGUAGUCACGUGGUUAGAUAAUGUGGCACAGGAACAGCAUAACAUUUAGAAUCUCAGAAGGACCAGAUUUGAGUCCCAGCCUCGCUAUUCAUUAACUCUAGCCCUUGAACAAUUUACCUAAUCUCUUAGAAGUUUAGUUUCCCAUCAGCAAAGUGAAGCUAAUAAACUCCUUUAUACAAGGCUAUUAUAAGGGAUGCUUGGUAAACUGUUCAACAUUAUACAGUUUAUUUAUUAAUGAUAAUAACAAUAAUAGUGGCAAAUGUAGGGAAUUGGUAGUGUGCUAGGAAAUGUUUAACAGCCAACCCUGAAGAGGGGUGUGGGGUGGAACAGGGGUGUGUGUUUGUGUGUGUGUGCAUACGUUUAUUAUAAAUUUUACUGAUAGAAUGUGUUUCCAUGGAAUACUACACAGCCAUAAAAAGAACAAAAUCAUGUCCUUUGCAGCAACAUAGAUGCAACUGAAGGCCAAUAUCCUAAGUGAAUUAACACAGGAACAGAAAACCAAAUACCACAUGUUCUCAUUGAUAAGUAGGAGCUAAACAUUGAGUACUCAUGGACAUAAAGAGGCAACAGUAGACACUGGGGACUACUGGGAGGGGAGAGAAGGGGAAAGGGUUGAAAAACUGUUGUUAUCCCCACUACUGGGUGAUGGGAACAUUUGUGUCCCAAACCUCGGCAUCAUCUAGUACACCAUGAAACAAACCUGUACAUUCACUGCCCUUGAAUCUACAAUAAAAGUUGAAAUAAUU